UACGUAGGGUGCAAGCGUUAAUCGGAAUUACUGGGCGUAAAGCGUGCGCAGGCGGUUCGUUGUGUCGGCGGUGAAAGCCCCGGGCUUAACCUGGGAAUGGCCGUUGAAACUGGCGAACUGGGAGUGUGGCAGAGGGGGGUGGAAUUCCGGCGUGUAGCAGUGAAAUGCGUAGAGAUGCGGAGGAACACCGAUGGCGAAGGCAGCCCCCCUGGGCUAACACUGACGCUCAGGCACGAAAGCGUGGGGAGCAAACAGGG
rnacentral:rRNA from 1 species